rnacentral:rRNA from 1 species
CUUCGGUGGGGAUUAGUGGCGAACGGGUGAGUAACACGUGGGCAAUCUGCCCUUCACUCUGGGACAAGCCCUGGAAACGGGGUCUAAUACCGGAUAUCACUCCUGCAGGCAUCUGCAGGGGUCGAAAGCUCCGGCGGUGAAGGAUGAGCCCGCGGCCUAUCAGCUUGUUGGUGAGGUAAUGGCUCACCAAGGCGACGACGGGUAGCCGGCCUGAGAGGGCGACCGGCCACACUGGGACUGAGACACGGCCCAGACUCCUACGGGAGGCAGCAGUGGGGAAUAUUGCACAAUGGGCGAAAGCCUGAUGCAGCGACGCCGCGUGAGGGAUGACGGCCUUCGGGUUGUAAACCUCUUUCAGCAGGGAAGAAGCGAAAGUGACGGUACCUGCAGAAGAAGCGCCGGCUAACUACGUGCCAGCAGCCGCGGUAAUACGUAGGGCGCAAGCGUUGUCCGGAAUUAUUGGGCGUAAAGAGCUCGUAGGCGGCUUGUCACGUCGGGUGUGAAAGCCCGGGGCUUAACCCCGGGUCUGCAUUCGAUACGGGCUAGCUAGAGUGUGGUAGGGGAGAUCGGAAUUCCUGGUGUAGCGGUGAAAUGCGCAGAUAUCAGGAGGAACACCGGUGGCGAAGGCGGAUCUCUGGGCCAUUACUGACGCUGAGGAGCGAAAGCGUGGGGAGCGAACAGGAUUAGAUACCCUGGUAGUCCACGCCGUAAACGGUGGGAACUAGGUGUUGGCGACUUCCACCGUCGUCAGUGCCGCAGCUAACGCAUUAAGUUCCCCGCCUGGGGAGUACGGCCGCAAGGCUAAAACUCAAAGGAAUUGACGGGGGCCCGCACAAGCAGCGGAGCAUGUGGCUUAAUUCGACGCAACGCGAAGAACCUUACCAAGGCUUGACAUACACCGGAAACGUCUGGAGACAGGCGCCCCCUUGUGGUCGGUGUACAGGUGGUGCAUGGCUGUCGUGUCAGCUCGUGUCGUGAGAUGUUGGGUUAAGUCCCGCAACGAGCGCAACCCUUGUCCUGUGUUGCCAGCAUGCCCUUCGGGGUGAUGGGGACUCACAGGAGACCGCCGGGGUCAACUCGGAGGAAGGUGGGGACGACGUCAAGUCAUCAUGCCCCUUAUGUCUUGGGCUGCACACGUGCUACAAUGGCCGGUACAAUGAGCUGCGAAACCGUGAGGUGGAGCGAAUCUCAAAAAGCCGGUCUCAGUUCGGAUUGGGGUCUGCAACUCGACCCCAUGAAGUCGGAGUUGCUAGUAAUCGCAGAUCAGCAUUGCUGCGGUGAAUACGUUCCCGGGCCUUGUACACACCGCCCGUCACGUCACGAAAGUUGGUAACACCCGAAGCCGGUGGCCCAACCCCUUGUGGGAGGGAGCU